UACGGAGGGGGCUAGCGUUGUUCGGAAUUACUGGGCGUAAAGGGCGCGUAGGCGGUCGAUCAAGUUAGGUGUGAAAGCCCUGGGCUUAACCCGGGAACUGCACUUAAUACUGAUUGGCUAGAGACCGGGAGAGGUGAGUGGAAUUCCCAGUGUAGAGGUGAAAUUCGUAGAGAUUGGGAAGAACACCAGUGGCGAAGGCGGCUCACUGGCCCGGUUCUGACGCUGAGGCGCGAAAGCGUGGGGAGCAAACAGG
rnacentral:rRNA from 1 species